UGGGGAAUCUUGGACAAUGGGCGCAAGCCUGAUCCAGCCAUGCCGCGUGCGGGAAGAAGGCCUUCGGGUUGUAAACCGCUUUUGUCAGGGAAGAAACGCUCUGGGCUAAUACCCUGGGGUAAUGACGGUACCUGAAGAAUAAGCACCGGCUAACUACGUGCCAGCAGCCGCGGUAAUACGUAGGGUGCAAGCGUUAAUCGGAAUUACUGGGCGUAAAGCGUGCGCAGGCGGUUAUGCAAGACAGAUGUGAAAUCCCCGGGCUCAACCUGGGAACUGCAUUUGUGACUGUAUAGCUAGAGUACGGUAGAGGGGGAUGGAAUUCCGCGUGUAGCAGUGAAAUGCGUAGAUAUGCGGAGGAACACCGAUGGCGAAGGCAAUCCCCUGGACCUGUACUGACGCUCAUGCACGAAAGCGCGGGGAGCAAACAGGAUUAGAUACCCCAGUAGUCCCUGAGCGGGCUGGCAAGGCGCAU
rnacentral:rRNA from 1 species